rnacentral:lncRNA from 10 species
AAAUGCUCCGCAGGGCCAGGCUCCCGGCUUGCACAGCUGGCUGGUCUUCCGCCUGGACAGACGUCAUGAAUGUGGCUCAGACCCAGAGCGCGGCCCCACUCGUUUCGGGGAGGACAGGAGUUGGGUUUAAUUUGGGCAACAUGCAGUGCCGUGUGUGAGCGGAACACGCAUUCCCGUGGGGUUAGAAACGUCCAGCUCCUUAUGGGGGUCAUGGUCAGAAUGGCCUGGACCUUCACUACGGCCAGCCCCUGACCACUGUGAUUCUGCGGGGCUGGGGCUGGGGCUGGGCCUGGGCCUGUGCUGCAGGUGAGUCCUGCCCAGGUGGGGAGUGCUCGGAGGUCAACAGCACUAUUGCCGUGUUAAUCCACCCCCCGAGCCAAUGCUUCCCACACUUCGCUUCAAUCACGCGACAGUCCUGAGCGGAUGGAGUGCACUGGUGUGAUCUCAGCUCAACCUCCGCAUCCCAGGCUCAGCGACAGGGUUUCGCCACGCUGCCCAGACUGGUCUCAAUUCCUGGGCUUAAGUGAUCUGUCUGCCUUGGCCUCCCAUCGUGCUGAGAUGACAGGCGUGAGCCACUGCACCCGGCCCAGGCUGUUUUCAAUUCCCCGUGUUCUGCUACCUUCCAGGUGGGGCGGGCUGGGAGGCCUCUUCUAGAGGGGCCCUCAGGCUGCUCCAAGCCCUGGAAUGCAGCCCUGGUGGCCUCAGAACACCCCAGCAGGCUGGACCCGUGCCUCUGCCCCAGGGUGUAGGGUCCGGGUGGCCUGGGGUCGUCCCCUUGGGAGCUGCAUGGGUGGCCGCUGCUACUCCUACCUGGGAGGACAUCCCGUGGCAGGGGUAGAGGAUCGCCCGGUCGCCGUCCUCCGCUCCCUGGUCCAGACAGUAGGCACUGGCUUUGCUGUUUCUCACCUGCAAGCAGAAGCCCCAGGAGAAAGUCCAGAGUCACCCGAGGGUGCGGCCCCAGGGAGCUUCACGCAGCCAGCUCUGCAGCCAGCACCUAAGGAGGAACCCUGACAGCCCUCUGAGAACAAGCCCGGGCCAGACUGCUGGGGGAUGUGUUGUCAUCGGGCAGCCAACCUCCAGCCUCCAGAACAGGCCCAUCGGAGAUCAGCACAGCCUGGAUCAGGCCAGCAGCACUGCCUGGGUGGCCCCGGCUCGUGAGCAAGUGUAGAUGCUUAUUGCUUUUGUCCACCGCGUCUCCAGGCUGCUGGGUUUGCAGCAGCAGCUGACCCAUCCACCACGGCCACCACGAGAGGUCACACAGGUACCACUUGAAGCUGCGACACUUCAGCCUCUGACGCAGGGCCAGCCUCUCAGACACGUCCCCGAAGUCCACCCCUGGGUUCUGCAAGGCCAGAAAGGGUCUGAGGCAGCUGCUCCUGAUGGGAAGGACCCUGCCAGAGGCCAGCCCCGGCCUGGACAGACGGCCCCUGCUGCAGCCGGCUCGUCCACACCCACCCGGGCCCAGGAACCUCCUGCCUGAGAAGACGGCCCUGCUCACCUGGCCUUACUGCACGGCAUCAGCCUGACCUCUGGAGGGUGGAGACUGAGGUCAGCCAUAUCCAGAGACCAGCCUGGCCUGAGUAGGACAGAAAGGCCGAGGCAGGGAGUGUUCACACACUCUGCUCGAUUCGGGCUGGGACGUGGGUCCUCCCCUGCCUUCAGGCUUGGAGCUCACGCCACCGGCUCUCCUGGGCGCCUGCCAGCCGACGGCCAAUCUCGGUACCCUCAGCCCCCGUAACCGGGUGAGUCAAUUCCUUAGAUGAACUUUCACAGCUAAGCCCACGUCCCCACCAUCUGCUAUUAAUCUGUUUCCCUGGAGAGCCCUGAGCCAGCCCCGUCCCAUCCUAUCCUACCCUAUCCUGUGCUGUCCCAUCCCAUCCACCCCAUUAAAAAAAGGCCGAUGCCACCCACGGGCUGACAUCACUAUGAACAAAUGGGUCUGAUCCACGUGGCCCAAGCUCCGCCGUGCUCAGGUCCUCAGCCCUGAGCCUGCCAUGCUGGACGAGUGUGCCAGGCCCAGGGCGGGCACUGUGCUUGCCUCAUCUCCUGAAUCCCCCCACCACCCGAGAAAGGGUGGGCAGCCCUGGCAUUGCCCCGUUCCCUCCGCGGUGCUGAGAAGGUGCCGAGGCCGAGGGUGGUGCCAACUGCAGGGGCGCACGGGGUGGAGCCUCUGCCCAGCUGAGCUCGGAUCCCUCAGUCAUCCCUGGACUCUGGUUCAUCCUCGUCCAGGCUGCUCUCAUCUCCAGGCCGUUAUCUUAAUCAUGUCUGCAAAGAUCCCUUUUCCCAAAGAGGGCCACACUCACACGUCCCCUAGCUGCAUCCUCCGGGGGUCGCCUGUCAGCCCAGCCC